GGAGCGCCCUACUAAAGAAGACAUUCACUAACUAUAGAAGUGUAUGUGUAUCCGCAUGCACAUACAUGUAGCAAUAUGGGCAUAUGGAUCCCGCGUAGAACAUAUCAUCACCAUUUUUGCAGGAGGUAUCAAAAGACUUAGGUGCUUAUACCUGUGUCUGUAUUGUGAUUAUGGUUCAUUACGGUGAGGAAGGUCGUAAUUGAAUGCAAACGGCAGCUGCUCCAGGCACUUCCUCGCAAGUGAGUGAUCCCCACCAUCGAUAACGUCUACGGCGACUCCACGCAGCGGCUUUCCUGUCGCAGUUGAUGACAUUUUACAGCACAAUCAAUCGUUGAAGCAGGUCCUAAAAGGUCUUCUUGGGCCAGACGCUGGCAGUGUCGCAGGGUUCUGUACGUGCGACUAAUAUCUUCCGAGGAGCUCUCACUGCAGGUGAUUCCGGCUGGAUGGAGGGCGUGUGCAGCGCCGACUUAAAACAAUGUCUCGAUCUUGCUAUCGACUUUUUUUAAAUGACGAAUAUCGCGUUGACUACAACACCUCUGCCUUCAUCUGGCCGAUGUUAAAGCACUUCUGAAGGUACGGAGACAUACUACACGUACGCCUUCAAAGGAAUGCAGGCAUACUACAGG